rnacentral:misc_RNA from 1 species
ACUUUACUUGCAGCAUGAAUCCAAAGGCGGCCUCGAAUAGGAGCAGGCCACGACCUGCCUUCAAUGCGCUUGAUCCCAUAAACUAACAAGGAAGCCCAUGGUUGGUGCAUGGUCAAGCAGGGGUUCGUGUAAUUACCAUGGCUCCUUCUUCCUCCCCAUCCCCCUCCUCCUCUGCUCAUCACUGGGCAAUGGGUAUUACAAUCUUGGCUUUUUUUUUUCUUAGUAUUCGGAAUCGGGAGUUCGCCGCGUUUCAGGUUGCGAAACCUGUGAGGAAAUUUUUCUUAAGGUCUUUUUAACA